AGAGUUUGAUCCUGGCUCAGGAUGAACGCUAGCGGCAGGCUUAAUACAUGCAAGUCGUGGGGCAGCAGGUUCCGAGCAAUCGGAAUGCUGGCGACCGGCAAACGGGUGCGUAACACGUACGCAACUUACCCAUUACAGGGGAAUAGCCCAGGGAAACUUGGAUUAAUACCCCAUAUUAUAUAGGACUGGCAUCAGUCUUAUAUCAAAGCUUCGGCGGUAAUGGAUGGGCGUGCGGUUGAUUAGAUAGUUGGCGGGGUAACGGCCCACCAAGUCUACGAUCAAUAGCUGAUGUGAGAGCAUGAUCAGCCACACGGGCACUGAGACACGGGCCCGACUCCUACGGGAGGCAGCAGUAAGGAAUAUUGGGCAAUGGACGAAAGUCUGACCCAGCCAUGCCGCGUGAAGGAUGAAGGUCCUCUGGAUUGUAAACUUCUUUUAUCUGGGGCGAAAAUCACCCUUUCUAGGGUGCUUGACAGUACCAGAGGAAUAAGCACCGGCUAACUCCGUGCCAGCAGCCGCGGUAAUACGGAGGGUGCAAGCGUUAUCCGGAUUUACUGGGUUUAAAGGGUGCGUAGGCGGGCAGGUAAGUCAGUGGUGAAAUCCCCGAG
rnacentral:rRNA from 1 species